UGUUUAACUCUUUUGUUUAAUUUUUACAGUUACAUCCAGCUGUUAGAUAUACAGGAAAAAAAAUAGUUUGCUGGCUAGCUCUAUUCAUUUAUGUUAGCAUUAAUGCACAUUUUUUAAGGAAAAAAAAACAUGGUCUUGUUUUUACUACCUGCUAGAUAUAGUGAUAAAGAGGUGCUGGCAUGCCUUACAGCACAGAUCUGAUUUUUUAAAAUGUCCUGUACUAGUACAUAAAUCCAGUCAUGCACUUUUUUUCAUACACUACAAGGGGAUGUGUAAUAUCCAUGCUUCUUUUUUAUCCUUAAACUAUUGCCAUACUUCAAGUAAGUGUCUUUUUUAAAAAAUUCACUUGUAUAAAAAUGGUCUGGUCAGUAUAGGGCACAAACGCCAAACAAAAGUAUUAGUGUUAACACAAAACUGCCAACUUUGCACAAGUUUCCAGAAAAGAAAAUACAAUUAGUCACUCAACAUAACCACAGGCCAAUUUGUCGGCCACCAGGA
rnacentral:lncRNA from 1 species